CGGAAGCGUUACGAAGGAAGUUUUCGGAUGGAAUUGGUAACGGUUUAGCGGCGGACGGGUGAGUAACACGUGGGCAACCUGCCUUAUACUGGGGGAUAACAGUUAGAAAUGACUGCUAAUACCGCAUAAGCGCCCAUCCCCGCAUGGGGAAGAGCGAAAAACUCCGGUGGUAUAAGAUGGGCCCGCGCCUGAUUAGGUAGUUGGUGGGGUAACGGCCUACCAAGCCGACGAUCAGUAGCCGACCUGAGAGGGUGGCCGGCCACAUUGGGACUGAGACACGGCCCAAACUCCUACGGGAGGCAGCAGUGGGGAAUAUUGCACAAUGGGGGAAACCCUGAUGCAGCGACGCCGCGUGAGUGAAGAAGUAUUUCGGUAUGUAAAGCUCCUAUCAGCAGGGAAGAAAAAAGACGGUACCUGACUAAGAAGCCCCGGCUAACUACGUGCCAGCAGCCGCGGUAAUACGUAGGGGGCAAGCGUUAUCCGGAUUUACUGGGUGUAAAGGGAGCGUAGACGGUG
rnacentral:rRNA from 1 species